CUCUAAGAUGGCCGCCGGCCUGCAGGGCGUCUGCGCGCGCGCGUCCCGGCAGGAGGGGCCUCCUCUCGGCGGGGGACCCCGGAGCGCAGCCGCCCGAGGAAGGCCUUCGCCGGCCUGAUCCGGCCCCGCCCGGCCGCCCCGCCUGCUUUGUCUUCCCCGAGGGGAGCGUCAGGGAAAGAAACAACUAGCGGACGUUUAGAAGGCGCCUGAAGGCAGCCCUCUGGAGGGAGGGUUUUAGGACUGAUGUUUUAUUGGGCUUUUAAUAUUCUGUUGGGAGCCGCCCAGAGGGGCGGGGCAUAAAUAAAUAUUAUUAUUAUUAUUAUUAUUAUUAUUAUUAUUUCUAUUACGGGCAACGUCCUGACACUUGCAGCCCAGCUAUUGAUUGACAGGUCAAGUUCAAUUACAUGGGACCUGUGGAGGUUUCCACGGGGAAGUGUUUUGCUUUCGGGUGUUUUUUAGGUCCUGUUUCCUGCAGAGGCCUUUAUGGAAUGCCUCCAAAGUCAUACCAAACUCAUUCUCUCAUUCUCUUCCUUAUGCGGCAAAAACCGACAAAAGGCACACACUGUCUCGUCACAGGAGGGAGGUCUGCUUAGGGUUGGGGAAGCCCCUAGGUGUACAGAAGAACAAAAAAGCUUUAGGCAAGAUGCUGAGGCCACAGGAGCUGCAGGGGGAAAAAUGGUAUUUCUGUGCAAUGGAGUAUCCUGGAAAAGGGUAUGACUGGCUGGCUGCCCUAUACAGGAGUGGUCCAUACUGCAACAUUUUGAUGUAGGUAGGCACCGCUUGUAUUUCCUGAACACACGUCUACCAAUUUGUGCCUAAAGCAAGGGUGAAAUCGUAAUGUCUGCAACUAAUGCAUGUAGUUUGUGAUGAGCCUUUUUGCUCAUUGUCUAGCACGGGUCAGCAAACUUUUUCAGCAGGUGGCCGGUCCACUGUCCAUCAGACCUUGUGGGGGUCUGGACUAUAUAUUUUUUUUUGGGGGGGGGGAAAUGAACGAAUUCCUAUGCCCCACAAAUAACCCAGAAAUGCAUUUUAAAUAAAAGCACACAUUCUACUCAUAAAAACACACUAAUUCCCGGACCAUCCGCAGGCUGGAUUGAGAAGGCGAUUGGGCCGGAUCCGGCCCCCGCGCCUUAGUUUGCCUACCCAUGGACUAGCAUCUCUGAGCCCCAAGAGUAUCCCCAACCCGCUUUUGGAUUAACUGACCUGGUGGGGUUUACCAUCUUAGAACUUCUUAUCCCAUCAUCUCACUAGCCCAUUAAUCUAAACUAGGCCCAAAUGAACAGGGCUAGAAAUACCUAAAAAUUUCCCCCUCUCAAUCAAGUUUGCUGUUUCUGGUUAGCUUUGUCCCAGAUUAUCUUGGGCAGACUAAAUAUAGGCACAGUCAGGAACUGAUUUGGUCUUUCUGCUGCUCUGCCUCAUUUUUCUUGGCUUAGAAGGGUUCAAACUCGUACUGUGGUUCGCCACAAAAACAAGGUCGAUUAAAAAGGGGAACAGCAGGAUGAUAAAUAGUGCUUGUGAAGUUCAUUUUAAAAAGGAAGUUGUUCAAGUUUCUCCGGCCCAUAAAGGAACUAACUCCAGUUUUUCUAGCUAGUUCAGCUGGGGUUCAUCCUUAGCCAUCCCUCCCCCCCUCCCCCCGGGUUCAGAAUGUUAUAAGCUGUUGUGCCAAAGUACAGGAGCCAAGUAUUAUUCAGGGCCACACAAGUAAUGCAGUGUAAGAUGUCUGACAGAGAGUGACAAUUUCCCCAUAAUUGUAUUCUACUAAAAAAAAGUUUUGCCCUCCUUAAUUUGUGCUAGCCCCACAGCUGUUAAAGGUGUAAGGCAUCACAUCCUUUCUUGUACCUGUUUUCACUGCAAGCUGCUUCUGUUGGAAGAGAGUCAGUCUCUUCAGCAAGGAAGAUAAAGGAAAUGCCUCAGAUUCCCUCCGAUUGCUUAGCAAUAGUGAUUAAAUGACUGAGCAGCCUCAGCAACAGCGGUGUCUCUGUAUCUGCUUAAUAAGACUUGGAAUGCUGUCUUCAUAUUUUGCUUUCUAAUUUUCUUUAUAGGUGUCCAACUGACAUUAAAAAAGAAAGAAGAUGAAACACGAAAGUGCAGGAAUGAACAUGAAGAUGAAAUCAUUCAAAGUUCUACCCCAAAAUGAACUUAAUUCACCUUCAGUUUACCUGGCAACUCUGGGAACUACUCUCAGAAGUAGUUCAAGAGUUUUGAACUGGUUCAGUUAGGUGCCACAAUGGAGCAGGCUCUCUGAUUCUUGGGGAUCGCAAUGUGUCCAUUCUGUGAACAAAACUGGACUUUGCAGGUCCCAAUAAUAUCAGUAGCCUGCUCCUGAGUAACUUGGAGCAGAGGUUUCAGGGAGGAGGUCCCUGUUUUGUGGAACAGCAGUAUUCCUGUUGAGAUACGGUGGUCAGGCACUCUUUGUACUUACUGGAAACUGGACCAUGAUGCCAGCCAAGAACAAGCAUCCGUUAUCACAGCCUGUUAUUCUAUUUCAUCCCCUCAAAUCAAGGACAACAAUUCAGGGCUUCACUACCUUGAGAUGCUGGCUUUUCUGCAAUUACGUUGAGCCCUUGUUGAACUUAGGUUUCAACAGGUGCCCUCAGCAUACUUGGUUGGAAUAGCACACAUGGAAUGGCAUUUUUGGAUGUAAUCAGGUUGCAGAUGCACUGCUUGUAGAUUUGCCCUUUACAUAUGGUGUCCAGAGAAAUUUUUAAAUUCUCUAUUGGUUCUCAAAUUGAUCCUCCCAGGAAGUGAUAGUUGAAUUCUUAGCCAUAUUUGGCUGGUAGCCAUAUUUGCUCUGGCACCUAAGAAGCUUCAUUCCAGUUAUGUUAAUGCUUUGUAAUUUUCAGUUUUUAUGCUGUAAAUGUGUGAUUUUAGAGGAAUGUUUUGCUUUUGAUCCUCUUUGUUCAUUGUGAACGCCUUUGGUGAUAUACAAUAAAUCGAAAUGAAUGAUAUUGUUACCUGUGAAAUAUAG
rnacentral:lncRNA from 1 species